GGUGAAACUGCAAGUCGAGAGCGUGGGAAACCAGCAAGUUGAGAGAGGAUCCAGAAGUAACCCCUUCUAAAACGGGAAAGAUGCCUUCCGAAAGCACUUGGCCCUAAAGAGAAAACACUAGGAGGAUGGGAACCAGGGACAGAGAAGCUACUUGCUCUGCAGCUGUUUGGGCCAGAUGUGACUUGCUCCUCCUUGUUUUCCAACAUGAUUGUGAGGCCUCCCCAGCCACGUGGAACUACCUACAGGGAAGGAAAAAGCAUCCUUAUCUCUGAAAAUGGAGGAACACAGAGAAAAAUUCAAACAAACAGGCCUCGUUAAGUCCCUGCCCCAUUUAUUACCAUUAGAUAAUAUUCUUUGUCCUAUCAUAUUUCUCCAUGACUGUUCAUUCUUCAUCAAACCUAGAAUAAAAACACUCAAAUG
rnacentral:lncRNA from 1 species